rnacentral:rRNA from 1 species
CUACGGGGGGCUCCAGUGAGGAAUAUUGCACAAUGGGGGGAACCCUGAUGCAGCAACGCCGCGUGGAGGAUGACGCAUUUCGGUGUGUAAACUCCUUUUAUAUGUCAAGAAAAUGACGGUAGCAUAUGAAUAAGCACCGGCUAACUCCGUGCCAGCAGCCGCGGUAAUACGGAGGGUGCAAGCGUUACUCGGAAUCACUGGGCGUAAAGGACGCGUAGGCGGGUUGGAAGGUCAGGUGUGAAAUCCUACAGCUUAACUGUAGAACUGCACUUGAAACUUCUAAUCUAGAGUAUGGGAGGGGGAGAGGGAAUUAGUGGUGUAGGGGUAAAAUCCGUAGAUAUCACUAGGAAUACCUAAAGCGAAGGCGCUUCACUGGCUCACUACUGACGCUGAGGGACGAAAGCUAGGGUAGCAAACGGGAUUAGAUACCCUGGUAGUC